rnacentral:tRNA from 1 species
GGGGCAGGACUGUAGCUCAGUGGUAGAAUAUCUGCUUGGCUUGUGGAAGGUCCUGGUUCAGUCCCCGGCAUCUCCA